GAUGAACGCUGGCGGAGUGCCUAACACAUGCAAGUCGAGCGGCAGCGCGAGUAGUUUACUACUUGGCGGCGAGCGGCGGACGGCUGAGUAACGCGUGGGAACAUGCCCCAAAGUGAGGAAUAACUGCCCGAAAGGGUAGCUAAUGCCGCAUACGAUCUUCGGAUUAAAGGAUUUAUCCGCUUUGGGAGUGGCCUGCGUACGAUUAGAUAGUUGGUGAGGUAAUGGCUCACCAAGUCUACGAUCGUUAACUGGUUUGAGAGGAUGAUCAGUCAGACUGGAACUGAGACACGGUCCAGACUCCUACGGGAGGCAGCAGUGAGGAAUCUUCCACAAUGGACGAAAGUCUGAUGGAGCAACUCCGCGUGCAGGAUGAAGGCCUUCGGGUC
rnacentral:rRNA from 1 species